rnacentral:rRNA from 1 species
CUAUGUGUGGACGGGAUAAGUGCUGAAAGCAUCUAAGCAUGAAGCCCCCCUCAAGAUGAGAUUUCCCAUAGCGCAAGCUAGUAAGAUCCCUGAAAGAUGAUCAGGUUGAUAGGUCAGAGGUGGAAGCGUGGCGACAUGUGUAGCUGACUGAUACUAAUCGAUCGAGGACUUAACCAA